CCCACAAAAAACCUCUGCACUCUUCCUUUAAUUCAUUUAUGCAUCUCAACUCUACAAAACUCUCUGCUAAUCCCGACCCCCUUUCUUUUGUAUAGAAACAAAGCUUCUGCAUUUGUUACUAUCUUCACUUGCACUAAUUGAUUUUAAGCUUCACGUUUCAAACUCUCUGCUAAGCCUUUGCAUCUCAUUUGUGCUCCACGAGUUUCAGCUCAAUCGUUGUCAUCUUCUUCAUCAGCGCUGUUUCGAAACAGGAGCCUGUUAGAAGUCCAAUAAUAGAUUCAUGCAUUCGGAUUACAGACAAUGGAAGGGAGAGCAUUAACAAAAAG